rnacentral:rRNA from 1 species
UACGAAGGGGGCUAGCGUUGUUCGGAAUUACUGGGCGUAAAGCGCGCGCAGGCGGCCAUUCAAGUCAGGGGUGAAAGCCCAGAGCUCAACUCUGGAACUGCCCUUGAAACUGCAUGGCUUGAGUACGAGAGAGGUGAGUGGAAUUCCCAGUGUAGAGGUGAAAUUCGUAGAUAUUGGGAAGAACACCGGUGGCGAAGGCGGCUCACUGGCCCGUUACUGACGCUCAGGCGCGACAGCGUGGGGAUCAAACAGG